AACAGUUUUGAGCAACCAGUCCUUGACCCUCCAGCAGAACUACAACCAGCCAUUAUAAAGCAGUUUAUAGUUGUUACAUUACAUUACAGGUCAUUUAGCAGACGCUUUUAUCCAAAGCGACUUACAUUACAUUUUAAACCCAUGGCUUUUUCACAUUUUUGCCCGGGGAGCAAUUAGGGGUUAGGUGUCUUGCUCAGGGACACUUCGACAUGGAACAUGGGGCAGCCUGGAAUCGAACCAACAACCUUGUGCUUCAAAGCACACCUUCUCUAACCCCUGCGCCACGACGACCCGUUUGUUAAUGUUGUGGGUACGGCAUUCAAACAUGUCCUUGCACAAGUUUCCUGGCUUCAUCCCCACCCGGACAGACAUUUUUAUGGAAAGCCAAUAGAAGUUUGGGGCUUGCAGGGAACAGACACGUCAUACCCAGCAUCAUUUCUGCCAGUUGAGCGCAUUGCUAGAAGAUGUGUGGUUAAUACAUCCUCCGUGCAUUUAAGUAAGACCAAAGAAAAGGUCACUGUAGUCCUGCCACUAUGCACUGUAGUUGAGCUCUAGGAGACUGUGAUCUCUGCAGACCCCUCAUGCUGAUUCAUAUGUUGUUUGCAUCGAAUGCUCAUUUUACCUUGAUUAAAACUCAUUUUUUAAAGAAGUUAUUCUGUGUAUCUUUUUUACAUAACAUUUGCCAUUGCUAAUGGCGUACACAGUAAUCUAGCAUAUUUGAAUUAAAUAAAUCAAUUCAAGAUAAAAUGUAAGAGUCUAUAAUUAGGCUACUGAGCCUGAUCUAUUUGUACCAGAGAUUUUCUUACCUUUUAAAAAAAUGUCACCUGGGCUAAAACUCCCUCCCUGAUUUGCAUUUGUAUAGCUCACAGCAUUUUCAUUUACAUGUCAAAACCUCCCCUGGAAUUAGGAGGAGGGGGGUCAUGGGGGGACAACUGCCAAGGGAGGCCCAGAUCAAUUUCUGACAAUUUACGGCAGUUUUUGGCGUUGCCCGCAAAUUGCCGUGAACAGCCGUAAACUCGAAAUUCCACGACAAUCUACAGUGCCGCAUACUGCCGAAAAUCCCACUUUUCAUGCAGUGCCAGGGAGGAAGAGGGCGCAGGUGAAGACCAGUGGGUCGGUCUGGUGGGUGAAGAGCUGGAUGCGAGUGUGGGGAUAGGUGAGGCCCAGCCGGUUGGUCAGAUGGGUGAGGGGGUGACUGUGGGGACGGGUAAGGCCCAGCCGGUCGGUCAGGAGGGUGAGAGGGUGACUGUGGAGAUGGGUGGGCCCAGCUGGUCGGUCAGGUGAGGAUGAGUGAGGCCCAGCAGGUUGGUCAGGUGAGUGAGGGGGUGAGUGUGGGGAUGGGUGAGGCCAAACCUGUCGGUCAGGGGGGUGGAUGGGAAGUUGAAUGUAGCCCAGUGGGCAGUGGUUGUGUGUGACAGAGUGAAAGAGGGGAUGGGGGUCCAUCAGGAAGGUGAAGGAGCUCGGGGAGCACUCGUUGGUGGGGGUACUGUUCGAGGUGGAAUCUCGGAUAGUGAGGAGGAUAUAGAGGAGGAGGGGUGGGCUUUAAGGUCCCCCCACCUGAAGAGGAAGAUGAGGGCCAGCAGGGGAGGCUCUCAGGCAAAGAGGGGGGGGCGGCGAGCAGAGGGGAGGUGGGGAGUCAGAGUCCUCUUCAGGGUGGGGCUCUGCCACCAGCUUCUCCUCAGGUGGGACAGUCACCAGCAGGUACGGGACGGGGCAGGUGAAAGCGUUCCUGCUGGCCACCAAGAACGAGAGAGGAGUGCAGCUGGAGGACUACUUCUCGAACGUGGUGCUGCUUUUAUGGUAAAUUCGGGAGCUGGGCUGAGUCGACCGAUCCCUGUGCAGCAAGGGAUAAUCUCAGGGCAACUAUACAGCCUUGCUUUUGAGCCGCUGCUGUGCAGGCUGAGAAGUCCGCUCGUUGGUCUCUCACUGCCUGUGUCCUCUAGCAUUUGUCGUCCCAUCGCUGUGUCAGCGAAUGCUGAUGAUGUAAACAUCUUCAUGGGAGAACAGGGAGAUGUCCUUAGCCUACAGGAUGCUUUGUCACUUUAUGAGAAGGCCUCAACUGCACGGGUGAACUGGGAAAGAUCUGAUGCUUUGUUGGUGGGACAGUGGAGACAGCAGAUGGUGCCUCACCUGCCAGGGGGGCUUUAGUGGGAGAAAGAAGGACUAAAAGUGUUGGGUGUGUUUUGGGGCUCUGAGGAUUAUCAGAAAAAGAAUUGGGAGGGAAGUACGGAGAAGGUGUGUGCUCAGUUUGCUAGGUGAAGAUGGCUGCUUCCCCAGCUGUCAUAUAGGGAGUUCUGGUUGCUAACAACUUGGUUGCCUCGAAUCUUUGGCAGAGGCGUAUUGCACUAACACUACCAGGAGGCCUAAUAGGAGAGAUACAAACGUCUGUAGUGGACUUCUUCUGGUCCGGCCAUCACUGGGCUCGUGCAGCAGCUCUCUACCUACCGGUGGCGGAGGGAGGACAGGGUCUUAUUGAUAUACAGUCAAGAAUCGCAUCUUUCAGACUCCGGACUGCACAGUAGCUGCUAUAUGGCUGUGGCCCUAGCUGGUUGGACACUGCUCGACUGCUGCUGAGGAGAGCUGGACGGUGGGGAUACGAUAAGCAGCUUUUUCUUCUACAGUCUUGGACUUGGCCGGGCUGACGCCAUUCUACAGCUCCGUUCUGCAGGCAUGGCAAGUUUUUAGCAUCUCACGGGAAGCUGGUGAGACUCCGGGCGUGUGGCUGUUGGAGGAGCCUUUGUUCUUCAACAGCUUCAUAAGGACCCAAACGCUGCAGUCUGCAAGCAUGCGAACGCGACUAAGAGAAGCAGGCUGAACCAAAUUGGGACACUCUGUGAAGAUGCUUCAACAGCAUCAGCCAUGGUCACGUUCAGGCAGAACGCCAACAUCACGUCUGCUAGGUUGACCAACAAGUUAGUGGAGGAGGUCUGCGAUGUGCUGCCACAACACCUGAGAGCAGCCGCAGAAAACUGUGCUCUGUCUGACCAGCGGGAUGAAGAGAGUGAGUACACCCCCCCCCCCCAGCUCUCUUUGAACUUUUGAAGGGAUGGUUUCAGGGCCUUGGAGAGGGUUUUUCUUUUGCCUUAUUUAUUUUCGGUCCAAAAUACUGUAAAAAAGAAAUGGCUGCCCACACAAUGGUGAACUUUCUGUCUGGUUCUGCCAAACACGGAAGAACAGGGCGAGGGGUGCUGGUAAUGAGGACCUCACAGACUUUCAGGGACAGAUGGACUACUGGGAGCAUUUUAUGCACAGUAGGUGUUGGUGCAGAGCUGGUGCUGACAUUUUGAAUGCAGAUUUGUGACGGUUUACUCUUUUGUUUUGCUUGUUGGACUAGUAUGUUUAUUAUUGUUUUCUUUUAUGUUUUAGAGUGUGUUGGUUCCAUUGUAAUAGUAGAAUAAAGGAUUCUUUAAAUCUCUCUCUCUCUUUCUCUCUCAAUGACAGAGUGUCGAGCGUGCAGAGCGCGGAGCUGAGAGCGAAAAGUGUUUUCCGUGUAGAUAUAUCUACUAUUCAAUGUGGAGAAUAUAGAGCGUUUGUGUGGAGUAGUUUUUUUAGAGUUUUGUGUUCCUGUAGUGCGCGUUUUUGCAGCCAAUCGGCUUGCGCUCGUCGGCGUGCUGAUCGCCGCCAUGGACCUGACCCGACUUACGCGGAAGCACGGCAUUAAAGUUCCGCCGGGUUUCUCCUGCUCGGUGGAGGACUGCAGCCUUGCCGUGGGAGAGAUGGUCGGUCACGGCAGCGUAAAGUCCGCCGCCCGCAUGAACAAGGCGGUGGUGAUGUACACAGAAAGUGUGGACAAAGCAAACAUGGUGGUGGAGAAGGGGAUCGUGGUAAAUGAGAUGUUCGUGCUCGUCCUGCCUCUCGCCACACUAGCGACCCAAGUCACGGUCUCUAACGUCCCCCCGUUCAUCAGGGACGAGAUGUUUACCAGAGAGCUGUCGGGACACGGGACGGUCGUGUCUCUCAAUGCAAUGCAGUGGACAAUGGGGCGGGUGUGGCCCAGCAGGUGGGGCAGGCGAGUGACUGAGU
ensembl:lncRNA